CUCAAUGGACUUCACCACAUCCAUCCCUUCCACAACUCUCCCAAACACCACAUGCUGUCCGUCCAGCCACUCGGUCUUCGCCGUGCAUAUAAAAAACUGCGACCCGUUUGUCCCAGGCCCUGCAUUAGCCAUCGAUAAUAUCCCUGGUCCGGUGUGCUUCUUAAUGAAGUUCUCAUCGGCGAACUUUGAUCCGUAGAUAGAUUCACCCCCAGUUCCAUUUCCGGCAGUGAAAUCGCCUCCCUGACACAUGAAUCCAGGGAUCACUCUGUGAAAACUCGAUCCUUUGUAGUGCAAAAGUUUGCCGCUACGACCCAUCCCUUUCUCUCCAGUGCAGAGAGCCCUGAAAUUCUCAGCUGUUCGAGGCGUAGUAUCUGCGAACAGCUCUAUCACGAUCCGGCCAGCUGGAGCACCGCCGACAGUCAUGUCGAAGAAGACCUUAGGAUUUGCCAUUGCAGAGAUGAGCACGGUUCUCUACUACUCUGUUGAUUGAGUCAAUGGAAUGAAGGACUAGGGUAAGAAACUGAGAUCCUUUUCAUAGCAGGCGCGGCGUAUGCAAUAUCUUUGAGGUUUUGAUCACGAACGUCGACAUUGGACGCGUGGCAGGAUCCUGACAGGUAUCGUAAUUGAGUUGCUGCGACCUUGUCCCGUUGACGCGAAUAUAUUCUAUUCCACGUGGCGAAAUCAGAGAGGUAACAAACGAUAAGUACCAGAGAAAAUGAAUCUUCCUACGUGGCAAUUUAUAAUUAAUUAUAAUUAAAAAAAAGGGAAAAAUCUGAUGGAAAGACUUAGAGGGUGUUUGGGUUUUAUCGACAGCCUUUCGAUCUAUUCUAAUUUUAGAAUUUUUUUUCUCUACGGUCAAUAGUUGAUAUCACUUUAUAUUUUAUUUAAAUAUAUUAUUUUAGUAUUUAUUCAUAUUAAAUUUUUAUAUUAAUAUAAAUAUAAUAUUAUUAAUAAAAUAUUUAUAAUUAUAAAAUGAAUAUAAAUACUAUAAAAAUAAUUAUAUUAAUUAUAUUGUUUAUUUAUUUUUAUACAUAUACAUAAAAAAUAAGAUUUAUUUUAUUAAUAAUCAUAUUUUUAAAUUUUAUAUAUAUUAUAUAUUAAAUUAUUAAUUAUAUAUUUUUUAUAAUAAAUAAAUUAUAUAAUAUAUAUCAUUAUUUAUCAUUUUAUAGAUAAAUAAUAACUUAUAAUUUAUUAAUUCUUUUAAAUAUUUUAAUUAUAAUUAAAAAUUAAUUAUUAAUAUCGAUUAUUAAUUAUCAGUUAUAAGUAGUAUUCAACCAUUAUUCCUAGGGAUAGAUCUCUUGCAAGAAUGGGCUUCAUAGGUUGGUCAAGACUCUGAGUUUUGAACCACGGCUGAUGCAUUGUGGUGUUAUCUGGGCUGGGCUACGUAUCCCCGUCAUUCCGAAUGGCGUUAAAAGGCAUUGUGAGGAAUGGGCGUUUGGAGUAAUAGAUUACGGUUGGCUUUAAAUAGGUCGAAUUAUGUUUAUUUAGUAUCAUAUGAUUAGGCCUAUUCCUAACGACAAAGCGGUAUUGGCAUUUAUGUAAGACUUGGCAAUAAAUAAUUAUGAUAUUAAUAAUGUUUUGUAAUAUUAAACGUAUAAUGUCCACAGUUUGCUUUCAUCAUCACACAACCACUAUUGAAGCCGGCAGUAGCCAACUGUCUGAUGGCCGGCUCUUUCUUCUGUCUGGUGUGAAUUUUCUGUCAACGUAAUCGCAACUCCUGCGAAGUUCCCUUCUGAACAACAUUUCUCCUUCAUACUUGACAUGUACAAGCUUCAUUUCUGAGAUUGUUUCCUUGCACGAUGAGAAACUUGUCUCUGAUUAUAUUUGCUCUAGUGUUGGACAUAUUUUUCUGUAUAUAUUAGCGUCAUAUUGUCAAUGCUGCUUGUAGUUCUUGCAAUUCUUUGGUUUCAAGGCCCAGAAGGUUAUUAUUUGAAACUCCUUGGUUUUCUUGUUUUUGUCAUAACUUCAUACGUUAAAAUGAAAACUGAAGAAAGGAUAAUUAAGAUUGGUGAUACAAACUCCAUAAUAUCUAGGCCAAACAAAAUGUUUAUAAAGUUGCUUGUUAUGUGUUUUUAUUAUUCAGUUUAAACACUUUGUUAAACAAUGAUGAAGUGUGUUUGUGUUUUUGUGCAUAUAUAUAUUAUUUUGCUCUGAUGAUUGGUAACUUUGUGAUUAAAUUGAUUGAAUUUUUCUGGUUCAACCUUUCUUAACAUUAACCUUCUCAACUCGCACUAGGGGGAUUCAAAUUGAUGGACCAAAGUAAAGAAAAAUAUGAAAACCAUCUGACCUUGAUGAUACUUGCUUAAGCCAACUCUCAAGCAUGGCAUUUGACUGGAAUUCUUUCAUUUUUUUAUAUAUAUCUUUUCUUUUACAGUGUUGUCAUAGAAAUUGGAAAGAAGCCUGCUACUGAUGGUGGUUAGUUGCUCUUAUUGUUUGCAUUGACUCAGAUUGACUCAAAGAUGACGGGAGGAGACUAUAGGUAUGUAACAGACCAAAAGGAUAUUAUGAGAUUCUUGAUCACCACGAUAGAUAGUUUUAUACAAGAUCGGUUUAUCAAUAAAGAACAAAGGGCCCAGCACAAAGAACAAUGUUCUGAGAGAUUAGCAGCUGAAGAUGGGAGCUGUGACAAAGAUAUGGAGGUUCGAUACUCUGAUCAAGCUGUAUUAGCAAAUUUAGACUGGGGUAUUGAAGCCCUUGAAGAAGCUAUCGAUACUGCUAAUAUGGAAACAAAGAUGGCACGAUUAGAUUAUGCAGAGAAGAUGCUGCAAGUGUGUGCCAUGUUGAACUCUAGCCAGAGAACAGCUGGAGUCCCCAAUUUCUACCUCUCAGCUUGGGCCCACCUUAACCUUUCAUAUUUGUGGAAAUUGCGUAAUGAUAUUCACAAUUCAGUUCAUCAUCUUCUUGAGAUGUUUAUUAUUGAUCCAUUCUUCUCAAGGAUUGAUUUUGCCCCAGAACUUUGGAAAGAUUUAUUUCUGCCACAUAUGAGCUCAAUUGUUGGAUGGUAUUCUGAGGCGAGACACAGGCUGAUGAUGGAAGUGAUUCCUGAUUCUUCUGAUUUGUCAUUCACUGCUGACUUGGAUCAAUUUUUCAACGAGUCUCUGAUCUUCUCAAUGAGGCCAGAUCAGUUGGAAAAAUUGCAAAAGUUAGAGCAACUUUACGGAGAAUCAUUGGAUGAGAACACGCGGCUUUUUGCUAAAUAUUAUGAUGAUUGCAUGAACAACGAUUCUACUGUAAGCAAAAAGAUGAUUCCAAUGUUGCCAAUAGCAGAGCCACCAAUGACUCCUUUGCAUGAGGUUAGCAGGUCAAUCCCUGAUUAUGUGAAAUUUGGUCCUAUCUUGCCCAAGAGUGCUGGUUUUGCUCCAGUUCUCCGAUCUAAACAUGGUACAAGAGAAGCUAACAGGUUAGUAUAUAUCCUGAAGUAAGUUCGGUGAUGGUAUUCUUUGAGCAGGAGAUGAAAGUUUUUUUUUUGUAGCUGUGGGUUAUAUUUUCUGGUAAUUAGAAGUCUGCAUUCAAUCUUCUGUUCAAUCUUCUGUUUUCAGAGGCUUUAAUGUAUGCAUGUUAUUUUGUAUAUGGCUUUGAACAGAUUAACCGUAGGUUCAACUCUCUCCCAUAAUUCGGAAGAGCCUACCAUGUGGGAUCCUCGGGUAAGAUCAUGAAUUGCAGGCUACAUUUGUAAAUUCAUGUUGGUAAGUAAAAUUUGAUUUUGAAGUUGAUACUUCUCCUAAUGGCAUAUGACGUAUCAGGAGACCAUACUUGAGGAGAAUGAAGAUGGUUCUGAUUCUGACCCUAUUGAUGGUAAUAUGGAUUCUGAAGAUAAAAGUCGUCAGUUAGUAACUCUUAGCAGCAUGAAAAUUUCUGAGAAUGCGGAAACUGGCACAAGCACAAAGUCAUCUAAAGCAAACAUCCGAACAUAUUCUCCCACAAUCUUUUCUCCAAUUGAUUCCCCAACAGCUUUUUCGCCAAAACUUUGCUCUUCAAAAGCAGAUGUCCAUCCCAAAAAAGAAUCCAGGUCUCUAUUGCGCCUUCUGUCCAGCUCCAGCCAUGUCACAGAUUCAAAUCUUGGCCCCUCUUUGCCUGUCUCUCCACAUAUGAGUAGUUACUGCAGCAUGAGCUCACCAGACUCGGAUGGGGAAGUGACGGUCUGCCCUACACUUCAGAUUUUAUUGAUCUUUUCUCUAUAGCAAUUAAAAAUUGCCGGUUCAAUUUUUUUUUUUUACUAAUGGUGGCUUUGCAAUUUAGGAUCUACGGAGAAGUGUCAGGAAAAAAUACAAUAAAGCACGGAGUAUGAGUUAUGACAAUGUAAACAGCCAAGUAUUAGAGAAUAGGUAGCUGAAAUUCCCUUUGUCUUUCAAUAAUAUUUUUGGAUGCUGUCACAAAGUAUUCGUAUUGUUCUUGCCCUUGAAUCAAUAGUAAAAUAUUUUAAACAAGAUUCUGCUUGUUAUGAAUCUACAAAUUUAAAAUUCUUUGUUUAUGCAGUUCUCUUAAUGAAAGUGAUGACGGAAGCCAGAGUUGCAUUUCAAUCCCCAUGUCUGAUAAGUCGACUUCUCGUUCAAGGCCACCAAAAGAUUUCGUUUGCCCUAUCACAGGCCUGCUUUUUAAUGACCCAGUGACUCUUGAAACUGGUCAGACUUAUGAAAGAAAAGCAAUUCAAGAAUGGCUACAAAGAGGAAAUACAACAUGCCCCAUUACUCGGCAAGCUCUCUCAGCAAAUUCACUGCCCAAAACAAACUAUGUUCUGAAGAGACUCAUAACAUCUUGGAAAGAGCAGUAUCCUGAUAUUGCUCAGGAAUUUUUGUACUCUGAAACACCGAGGACUGCAUUUAGCUCCUCUUCUCCAUUAGCAUCCACUCCUUCCAGAAUGUUUGAUUUCCUCAGAAAUAAUAGCUCAGAUAGUCACAUACAGCAGAGAAGCAAAAGAUUUAUACGAUCGGCAGUGUCUACAUCACCAACCAGUGUAAUUUCCCAAGCCACUAUUGAAACAAUCAUCAAUGGGUUAAAACCACACAUUUCAUGUCUUUGCACUUCGGAAAACUUACAAGAAUGUGAAGCAGCAGUUUUAGCAAUAGCAAAAUUAUGGAAGGACUCGAAGGGUGACCCAGGGGUCCAUUCAUAUUUAUCCAAACCAACAAUUGUAAAUGGGUUUGUGGAAAUACUAUCAGCAUCACUGAAUAGAGAAGUUCUCAGGACAUCAAUUUACUUUCUUUCUGAGUUGAUAUUUUCAGAUGAAAGUGUUGGAGAGAUUCUGACUAGUGUAGAUUCUGAUUUUGAUUGCCUGGCUGCUUUGCUUAAGAAUGGGCUAGCUGAAGCUGCUGUUCUCAUUUACCAACUGAGACCUGCAUAUGCUCAGCUUUGUGCUCACAACUUUAUCCCCUCCCUUGUACAUCUAAUCCAGAUCAAAAUUGAAGAAUUGGAUGAUCUUCAGUUGGUAAUCGAGCCAAAGGAUGCUGCCAUAGCAUUGCUUGAGCAGAUUCUUGUUGGAGGGGAUGAAAACAGCCAGUCUGUUAAUGCUUUUAGUGUUAUUUCUGCAAAUGGAGUUCCAGCAUUGAUCAAGUGUUUGGAUAGGAUGGAAGGAAGAAAAUCUGUUGUUUCCAUACUUCUGUAUUGCAUGCUUGCUGAUAAAAGUUGCCGGAACUUCAUAGCAAGUAGAAUUGAACUGGGUCCUGUACUUGAAUUAUUUCAUUCGGGAAAUGAUAGUGUGAGAGGUAUAUGCAUAGAUUUUCUUUCAGAGCUGGUUCAGUUAAACAGGUACCUAUAUACACCAUUUCAUAGAUCAUCUAUUUGUUACUGCAAUCAACUUUAACGUAUGCUUAUUGAAAGGAAAAUAAUAAAGCCAUGGGGAAAAGGGGGGAAAAAAGACAAGAGGCACUAUCAUUUAUGUACCUUAAUUUUCAGCUCUAGAUUUUGAAUCUAUAUUCUUGACUAUAAUAAUGUCAAAUUUUGAAGUCCUCUUAUUAUUUUACAUUAUAAAUUCUUUUUUGUCCUCACAUUCAGAAAUUUUCACCUUGCAAAUGAUGAUACUAACAACCAUAUACUAGCUUUCCUGAAAACACUAUUUUCACAGCUGUACUUCCAUUAAGCUCGAAGAAUCCUUUCAAUUCCAAUUUUUUUGUCAUGUGCCUUCACAUACAAGUUUAAGCCUACUUGUUUCCAUGCAAGAAAGACAUGCAUCUAAGUAUUUGCUUGCUUUAAGGAUUGUUUUGUUUUUUCAUUGUCUUUCAGGAGGACAUUCUGCAAUAAGAUAUUGCAGAUAAUUAGAGAUGAAGGAGCAUUUAGUACUAUGCAUACUUUUCUUGUGUAUCUUCAAAUGGCUCCCAUGGAGCAGCAACCUGCCAUUGCCACUCUUCUUCUUCAGCUUGAUCUCUUGGUCUGCCUCAAUUCCUUGCAUUGUUCAUUGCAGAUCCUUCUCACAAAAUAACCCUCUUUUUGUAAAGCAGUUGGCCAUCUGACAAUUGAUUUAUAUUUAUUUAAAAUUUUCCAGGUUGAGCCACGGAAGAUGAGCAUUUACAGGGAAGAAGCUGUAGAGACACUUAUUGAAGCACUAAACAAAAAUGAAUUCUCUAAUUCUCAAAUGAUGGCUCUGGAUGCUUUAGUAUCUCUCUCUGGACGUCUUACUUCAUCUGGAAGGUCCUAUAUGGAAGCCUGGUUACUCAAGAUUGCAGGGUUUGAUCAACCUUACAAUGCUCUAAUGAAGGCAGAAGGACAGAAGAACAGAGAAAAUGAAUUAGCAGAAACAGUGGUUAGAAUUUAUGUUGUUUUAUGGUUGAUAUGGAGCUUGGUUAAUAUUUAUUAUAAGGAUUCCUGAAUCUUAAAUAUUAUUUCUACACAGGAAGAGGAAGAGAAGGCUGCAAGUUCUUGGGAGAGAAAAGUAGCUUUUGUACUUUGCAAUCAUGAAAAGGGUUCUAUCUUUAAAGCUUUGGAGGAAUGUUUCAAGAGUAAUUCCCUGGAGAUGGCAAAGUCUUGCCUUGUUAUUUCCACAUGGCUCACAUACAUGCUUUCAAUCCUUCCUGAUACUGGAGUAAGGGAGGCUGCUCGUAAGUCAUUGCUUGAUGAAUUUAUAAAUGUCCUCCAAUCAUCUAGGAACAUGGAAGAGAAGAUCUUGGCCACCCUUGCAUUAAAAACUUUUGUCAUGGACCUUGGUAAGACAAGUGUAGAGAAAAAAUUUUGAAAAAUGUUUAGAAUAUAUUUGAACAGAUGAUGACUGACCCAAGCUUACGUGAUCUAAAGCUGCACUUGAGGAGUUGGGAAAGUAUGCCAAAUGCAUUUAUAAAACCUUGAGAAAGUUCAAGAGAACUUCACCUGUGAUUGCUGAUAUACUUAAAUCUUUGAUGAACUUAUCCUCUGUGAAUGCAGUAAGUGGGAAAUGUAUUCUUUCUGUCUGUGUUUGCAAUCUAGGCAUGUGGAUAAGCUUAUUGGUGCCUGUAUUCUGUAUUUUAGACAGAGUUGUGGCAUUGUACUGAAGUGGUUGAAUUGGAAUCAUCUGGAAAUGGUGAAGUUCUGUCAUUGCUUCAUUUGAAAGGUCGUGUUUUGAGCAGCCAUUCUGAUGGGACCAUUAAGGUGUGGAUCUAUUUGUGCCUUCCUCAUCUCUCUCUAUCUCAUAUAUACACUCAUGAGAUUAGCUCUUUCAUAUGCAUAAAUUUAAGGCAUUACUCAUAGAUAACCGAGGAGUGAACUGUGCUUUACUGAUAGCUGAUUUUCAGGUGUGGGACGCUGGUAAGAGGGUUCUAAGGUUAAUUCAAGAAGUCCGCGAACACACAAAAGCUGUCACAUGCCUCUAUAUUCCAUCUUCUGGUGACAAACUGUAUAGUGGUUCCUUAGACAAAACAAUUCGGGUAAGCCUUAUAAUACAGUUAUCUUUUUCUUGCUAAUACAGUUGGCCUAGUUAAGUAGCUGCAUGAUUCAAUUUGAUUUGAUCAUUGGAAAUUCAACUGGUUCAGUUUGUACCUUCCCAAAAUUUAUGAACUCAAUUUAUUUCAAAACCACUGGACUGAUUGUCAUUAAACUUGAAGACCAGCAGAAUUUUAUUAUUUUGGUUUGGUUAAUUCAUUUUUGGAAUUUUUGUUGGCCUUUUACCUUUUUGGUCCAAAAAAAAGUGGAUUAUUUUUCUGGGCUUUAAUUGAUCCCCUAAAACCAGUUAUUCAAUAAUAAGACACUACCCAUGCUAAGCUAACAAUGAGCCAAACAAGCUGUUUCAUAGUUGUACAGAUAAGCCAUUAUUUGUGCUGACGUUUAUGUGGACUAACUGAAAGGUGGAAUCUUCAAACUGUCACUAACUGCUUAUGAUUUUUCCUCAAAUUUACUUAUCUGCAGGUUUGGGCAAUAAAGCCUGAAGAAAUUCAUUGCGUUCAAGUUCAUGAUGUAAAAGAGGCAGUAUAUGAGUUGACAGCUAAUUCUAAAGUCGCAUGCUUUAUGUCUCAAGGAACAGGGGUCAAGGCAAGUCCCUUCCCAGUUAAAGGAAAUUAUAGAACUGAUUUUUUUUUUUUUUUUUAAAAAAAAAAGGAAACUAAAGGUUGCAGUCUUUGGCAUUGGCAGAACAAGUUUUGAUGCUAAUUGUGUCAUCGCAGGUGUAUAAUUGGUCUGGGGUUCCAAAGCAUGUAACUUUCAACAAAACUGUGAAGUGCCUUGCUAUGACAGGAGAUAAACUAUACUGCGGCUGCUCUGGUUACAGUAUCCAGGUAAACAAUUUUCUGUUGCAUCCAGUUUGUCAUGGACUAGUUUUUUGGCUAUUUAGCAACAAUUAUUAAAUUUGAGUCAGAUGCAAAAGCUAAUUAAAGGGAAAGAGUUUCCAAAACUCACAUUGCCCUAUUCUAAACCAACCUGAUGAUCUAACUGCAAAUAUGCUAAAAUUUGAUAGGAGGUGGAUUUGUGCAAAUUGACAUCAACCACAUUCUAUUCCGGCACAAGAAAAUUGCUAGGGAAACAAAUUAUACAUUCCUUACAUAUUCAUGAUGGUCUACUGUUUGCUGGUGGUUCAGCAAUAGAUGGGACAGCAGGAAAGGUAAAAGAUUAACACCCAUUAUUCAAUUUGCUUAUGUUUUCCAAGGUUUUUGCAAUUGAAGAGUACUUUAAAAAAAAAUGGGAAUAAAAUAUGGCAGGUAUUUUCUCACACCACAAAAGCAAUGGUAGGAUCGUUUUGGACAGGAUUCGACAUUAUGCAUAUUGCAGCCAACAAUGACUUCAUAUUCACAGCGACAAAAUGUGGGACGAUUGAGGUUUGGUUAAAAGAAAGAAUCACAAGAGUUGCCUCCAUUAAGAUGAGUGGCAGUGGACAUCCCAAAAUCACAUCCUUAACUUCAGACAUGGACGGAGGAAUGUUAUAUGCUGGUUCCUCUGAUGGCAAGAUCCAGGUUUGAUUUGGACACAAACCCACAAAUAUAUUGCAGCCAAAGACAGAAAAACAAAUCUUUCUAGUUUCUAUUGUUCACUCAUUUGUCUGGGAUUUUGUUGCAGGCUUGGGCCAUGGACUAGGGAAUCCAACGUUACUUUCAGUUGUACAUCAAGUUUCGGCAAGUCUACACAAGUUAGCAGUUCGGGUUAACUUUUGUUGUAAAUUAAAUCUUGACAUUUGUUCAUAAUUUUGUUGCUAGAUCUAUGUUGUAUUACAAAAUUAAUUUUCUUAUAUAAUGUUUGGAAUCAAUUUGAAAUUAAAUGAAACCAAACGAGUUAAUUUAUUUAUUUUUAAGUUAAUUUAUAAUUUAAAUUUAAUAAAAAAUAUUUAUUUUAUAUAAUAUUCAUUAAUUACAAGUAUAACAAUUUACUGAAUUUUUUUGUAAUUUUAAAAUUUAUAAUAUCUCAACUAUUGAUUAAUAAAAAAGGUAAUUAACAUAUUAAAAAUAACGAAAAGCUAUAAUGUUAUCAUAUUUCAAGAACUAAAUAAAUUCUUAUCCAAAAAAAUUGCAAAAACUAAUUUGUAUUAAUUUUUCAAAUGAAAAAAAAAACUUAAUUGCGAAAUAAGGUUUUUUAUAUUAGGCACUCAGAAUGAAAAGGACUAUAAAAAUUUGAACUAGAUGUUUCACAGAUCUAUCGACCUCAAAUGUGAACACGAUAUCCUCAUCAUGCCAAUUCAACCUUUCUUUUUUCAAAAAGCAUUUGGGAAAAACACAAAGAUUACUUAUGAAAUAAUUAUGCACAAAAAAUCCAGAUUAAGCGAGCAUUCAGUAUGAGUAGGAGGUAAUAUUAAUCCUUCAUGAAAUGAGUCGGACAAUUUCAAAUUCAUCAUCACGAUGCUCACUAGCUUCAUCGCCACUGUUGGUUUAACAAAGAAACAGAAAUUAGAGAGAGAAGAUGAAGAAUAUUAAACCAUCAGAAUAUUGGAUCAUUGUAUCAUCGACGACACUUUAAGUGUCUCAGACGACCGUCGUGAGAAAUUUUAAUCCAAUUUCAUCACUUGAUUCUAUAAUCCCCAAAAGAAAUCUUCAAAACCAAUGCUUUCAAUAAAAUUACACUUACAAAAACCUAAAAGAAAAAAGGUGGAUAGAAAAUCAGCGACUGGAAUAGAGAAACUUCCACGACAAUACCUACACAGUCGCUAAUCGGAUCCAGUAGCUCAGCUCUUGUUCAACAACUCUCCACAAGAGUGACGGUUUUAUAGCGCUUUUGAGUUUAGCAGCUAGGGUUUUUGUCUAUUUGUAUUGACGAUUAUGUCCCUGUUAGGGUGCCCGG
rnacentral:lncRNA from 1 species